rnacentral:rRNA from 1 species
AAGUCGGCAUCAGCUAAGGAGUGUGUAACAACUCACCAGCCGAAUUAACCAGCCCUGAAAAUUGAUGGCGCUAAGCGUGAUACCGAUACUCAACCAUCACGCAAAGAGAAGCUGUAAUGAGUAAGAGGGCGUGAGGACUGUGUAGAAGGUUUGGACGUGAGUCUGACUGGAACAGUCUUUAGUGCAGAUCUUGGUGGUAGUAGCAAAUAUUCAAAUGAGAACUUUGAAGGCCGAAGUGGAGAAGGGUUCCAUGAGAACAGCAUUUGUUCAUGGGUUACUCGAUCCUAAGACAUAGGGAAAUUCCUUGUAAUAUAUGUGUCCUUACGACGCGUUGUCAAAAGGGAAUGAGGUUGAUAUUCCUCAAGCUGGCAGUGGUGGCGAGUGGCAACACAAACAAGCUCGGAAACGCCGGUAUGUGCAACUGGAAGAGUUCUCUUUUCUUCUUAACAGCUUAUCUCCCUGAACGGAUUAUCCAAAGCAAGGGAUAUAUGGCUGGCAGAGCAGUUCACCAUCGAAUUGUCAGUGAUGCUCAUAACGGUCCUUGAAAAUCUGAGUGAGAAAUCCAAACACGCCAGGUCGUACCCAUAACCGCAUCAGGUCUCCAAGGUUAGCAGCCUCUGGUCGAUAGAAUAAUGUAGAUAAGGGAAUUCGGCAAGUUAGAUCCGUAACUUCGGGAAAAGGAUUGGCUCUGAGGAUUGGGUUAUAGUACUUAGCAGUGAUAGCGGAGCUUUGAAAGAACUUGCCGCAAGGCAGGCUCUGGAUUUGCGAACAGGAACUGUUCGGCUACUUACACCAAGAACAAUCGACUCAGAACUGAAGCGGACAAGGGGAAUCCGACUGUUUAAUAAAAACAUAGCUUUGUGAUGGUGUGAAAACAUGUUGACACAAAGUGAUUUCUGCCCAGUGCUUUGAAUGUGAAUAUGAAGUAAUUUGUAGAAGCUCAGGUAAACGGCGGGAGUAACUAUGACUCUCUUAAGGUAGCCAAAUGCCUCGUCAUCUAAUUAGUGACGCGCAUGAAUGGAUUAAUGAGAUUCCCACUGUCCCUAUCUACCAUCUAGCGAACCCACAGCCAAGGGAACGGGCUUGGAAUAAUCAGCGGGGAAAGAAGACCCUGUUGAGCUUGACUCUAGUCCGACUUUGUGAAAUGACUUUCGAGAUAUAGCCUAGGUGGGAGCGAAAGCGCCGCUGUAAAACCACUGCUCGCUUAGCCAUUUUACUUACUCCGUGAAGAAGUGGCCGGUUAGCCGGUUCUUAGAAUUAAGCCGCUAUUUCAUAGAGGUGAGCUUUGCGGAGGACAAGGUCAGGUGGGGAGUUUGACUGGGGCGGUACAUCUGUUAAACAACAACGCAGGUGUCCUACGGUGAGCUCAAAGAGAACGGAAAUCUCUUGUAG